rnacentral:rRNA from 1 species
GAUGAACGCUAGCGGCAGGCUUAAUACAUGCAAGUCGUGGGGCAGCAUGAAGUAGCAAUACUUUGAUGGCGACCGGCAAACGGGUGCGGAACACGUACACAACCUUCCUUUUAGUGGGGAAUAGGCCAGAGAAAUUUGGAUUAAUACCCCGUAACAUAGCGAUGUGGCAACACAUUGCUAUUAUAGCUUCGGCGCUAGAUGAUGGGUGUGCGUAUGAUUAGAUAGUUGGCGAGGUAACGGCUCACCAAGUCUACGAUCAUUAGCUGAUGUGGGAGCAUGAUCAGCCACACGGGAACUGAGACACGGGCCCGACUCCUACGCGAGGCAGCAGUAAGGAAUAUUGGUCAAUGGACGAAAGUCUGAACCAGCCAUGCCGCGUGAAGGAUUAAGGUCCUCUGGAUUGUAAACUUCUUUUAUAUGGGACGAAAAAAGGUCUUUCUAGAUCACUUGACGGUACCAUAUGAAUAAGCACCGGCUAACUCCGUGCCAGCCGCCGCCGUAAGAC